UUAAAAAAUUUGUGAUGUUAGAUGGCAAAAUUACAGGUCUGGAAAGAAGAAUUGAGUGUCUCGAGGGUCGUGGUGGUAGCAAUAGUUAUAACACCCAGCUGUCACCAAAGGUUUCCUUGUUGCGUCCACCAAUAUCUUCUAGCCCAAAAUUAUAAUAUUAGCGUUAUUUAAUGUGCGGAAUAAUUUAAUUAAUAAACAAUUGACGUAAUAUCGCUGAAAAAUAGUCAAUUGUUAUUAGCAUUUCAUAUGUAUUAAUGAAGGAAGAGCAUAGUUCUUUUGUUUGGCAACAAUACGUUUUGUUUUUAAAAAUUAGAUUUGAUAGAUAUCCGGUAAUUUGUUCAAGUACAAACAAUGUAUUUUAACCCUAUAGAGGCCAUUGUACCUCACAGGUAACAAUCACCAAACGGGAUGUGUAAGAACUUUUGAAAAGACAUCAUCCACUUCAAGCCACAUAUAAGCCACGAGGCGUCAUGGAAAGUAAAUGUUGUUCAUAUGAGAUAGAACAAGACUUUACAAAUAGACGACAAGUGUAAAGAUUUGUGAUUGGGCCAAGCAAAAUAAAGUUGUUGCCUUCAACUCUCCUCAAAGACAAGUUACCGAAACACGUCUCAUUUGAUUACAGACGUACUUAAACGUGUUGAUAAAAAAUCAAGACCGCCAAUAUCUGAAUGCUCUUCAACAAGGAAAUACCACACAUAUUUAAACAUUUGAAAGCUACGAUGUACAGAUAUAUACUAUCAGUAUCACAUCCUAAGUGUUAAUAGCAGCAGCAAAAA